GAUGAACGCUGGCGGCGUGCCUAAUACAUGCAAGUCGAGCGAACAGACGAGGAGCUUGCUCCUCUGACGUUAGCGGCGGACGGGUGAGUAACACGUGGAUAACCUACCUAUAAGACUGGGAUAACUUCGGGAAACCGGAGCUAAUACCGGAUAAUAUAUUGAACCGCAUGGUUCAAUAGUGAAAGACGGUUUUGCUGUCACUUAUAGAUGGAUCCGCGCCGCAUUAGCUAGUUGGUAAGGUAACGGCUUACCAAGGCAACGAUGCGUAGCCGACCUGAGAGGGUGAUCGGCCACACUGGAACUGAGACACGGUCCAGACUCCUACGGGAGGCAGCAGUAGGGAAUCUUCCGCAGUGGGCGAAAUCCUGACGGAGCAACGCCGCGUGAGUGAUGACGGUCUUCGGAUCGUAAAACUCUGUUAUUAGGGAAGAACAAAUGUGUAAGUAACUAUGCACGUCUUGACGGUACCUAAUCAGAAAGCCACGGCUAACUACGUG
rnacentral:rRNA from 1 species